CACACAGCAGAACCCCAACAGCAAUCAAGAGGAAAGUGCCAGCACCAGGGAAGGGAAGAUAACUUUACAAAGAUCCUUGUCAGGGAUGUGGCAGAGGGACACAGCGCGGUCCGAGAGAAUCAGAGAUGUGCAAUCGGUGAAGACGGGGCCAGAGGAGGAGUGUACUGAGGAGGCUGGGUUGCUGAGACAGGAAGCCAGCACUCCAGCAGACAGAGGUGGCAUGGACAGAGCAGAAGAUGAUUUUAGAUUUACAAGUUUUUAAAAUAGGACCCCUUCUAUCAGAUGAGCCAAUCUCAUCCAAUUUCCUACCGAGGCACAUCUGGCAAAGAACUGACAAACUGGGCUCCAAAGAAGAGGCAGCAACGAGGCCUUCAUUCCAAAGUCCAUAAGGACAGAGAUCCUGCCAACCAUCAUAGGCACAAACCUGGAAGCUUAUCUCCCACACUGGAGCAGUGAGAUGGUGGCAACUAACUUCUAGACUGCAGUUCUGAAAAGACUCAGAGGACCCAUUUAAGUCACAUUCACCCUGACCUAGAGAAUCUGUGAGAUAGUAAAUGCUGUUGUGUUACACUGCUAUUUGGGGGAUAAUUUCUGUGAUUAAAAAAAAAAAAAAAAACUAAUGCAGGGAAAUGCUAAUUUUCUUUAUCCUCAUGUAUACAUUUUUAAAAACUCAGUUUUCUAAAAUUUUAUUUUUUGUGUGUAUAGGUGUUCUGCUUGCAUGUUUAUCUUUGCACUGUGAGUGUCUGAUGCCUGUGGCAGCCAGAAGACUACCAGACUCCCUGGGACUGGAGUUAAGAUUGUUGUGAGCUGUUAUGUGGGGGGUGGAAAUUGAACCCAGGUCCUCCAGAGAGCAGCCUGUGCUCUACCUACUGAACCACCUUAGCAGCCCUGGCAAACUAAAAUUUUAAGGAAUUCAUCUAAGUUGAGCUUCAUAGUAUAAAUGAUCCUUUUCAGAGGUAGACAAACAAUACAAGCUUAUUUGCUCAAUAUUUCUGAAAUAAAACUAUAU